UGUCCGCCUCGCAAGGAAGCCGGGGACCUGUAGAUCGCGAUAGGCACUGAAGGGUGCUUGCUGUUGCUGCCAUGGAAAUGGUGGAUAUGCGGCGCCCCCAAACUGGAGGCACCCCAAGCCACCCCGAGGAAGCCACUGAGAGUCAACGGGAGUAUCCAGAGCACGGCCAGCUGGCCACGAGACUGGACUGGCUCGGACAGCAUGAACUCCCUCAUCCGCUGGGGCAUGGCGGGGCGGGGGCACCCCCACCCCACCCCGUCAGGAGCGAGGCAAACUUUGGGCGAGGAAAGCGCAGACGGGCGGCUCACCGCACUAAGCGGUUCGUCAUUGUGGGUGCUUCUUCUGGGCGCCGAUCCCUCGCCCCGGGUCCCUUCUUGCCCCAAAGAGGCCCGAACAUAGUCCAGGGCGGCCGAGAAGCGCCAAAUUCCCGUGGAGAAAACGCGGCGGGACGGCCCCGAGGAGUCUCCAGUGCUUCUCCGCGCGGCUACCUCCACUGUCAAGCAGCGCUCAGGGGACUCUCCUCCAUAAUCCACAAAGCGGGUGAUCCUCCCGCCAGGAAUGACCAGCCAAGGUGGGAACAGGGUGCCCAAUUCCCAAAGAAAAGCAACCGUCGCAGGGGGGGAUCCAUCCAGCGGAGCGAGCGACUUGCGCUUCUUAAAGGCGCGCCGACAACGCGCGCAGCUCCCCGGGCGAGCCUCCUCUCUCCUUUGCUCUCCGCCUAUUGCCAGCGCAACGAGGGCGAAGAGGAAGACGGCGACGGCGACAGCGAGGACGGCGGUGGGCAGGAGGCGGCGAGCGGAGCUUUGCAGGGAGAAUCCAUUGCACGCGUCUGAGCGGAGCCACCGCGGCGAGGGGGGCGGGCGAGAGUGAACGAGGAGCAAGCCAUGCUAGCUGGCAGCGAAGGCGAAGCGAGCGCUAUGCAAAUCUGCAGUCUCCCAACAGCAAAUCACCGGCGCCCCUAUGCAAUGCAGCGGACUAGCCUAUGGGGGAGUAAGCAAGCGGGCGCUGGCCCCGGCUCGCUUCCUCACGGCGGCGGCGGCGGCGACGCGCUAACUGGAGCGGGCCAUGUGGCAGGCAGGCUGCGUGCUGCUCAUAAUAGCCUACGGGAGGCUCUGCAGCUUCCUUGCUCGGGGAGAAUUUCCGGGUGGGAUGGGGAACUGAGGACUCAAAUACUUUCAAAUACCGUUUUUGUUCCACGCCCUCCCCCAGACAUUAAUUCUGUCCGUGUUUCAGGACCCAUCUGCGGGUGACGUUAAGCGAAGGGUGCUUCUCCGCCUCUUCUUAUCUUUAAGGGAAUGCCGCCUAUUGGAAAGGAGUGGAGAUGCUUCAAAGAGGAAGCGCAAUCAUUCCUCCUCUUUUCCUCUGCCCUUUCACAAGAGACGCCUCCCCAAAACCACAUAAGCCCUGCCACCUCAGAGAACAAGCAAUAUAGCGAGCAUCCAAGAUAAGGUCUCUGCCAGCCCCGCCUCUGCUCUCUUCCUGACUACCUCCUGUUCUUCUCCUCUGAGUUUACCCCAUUCGAUGAAUGGUGUGGGGGACCCUACUGGUUCCCUGUCCACACUAUACACCUUUUUCUGCUUUCCUGUCCUGUCUCACAGGAAGAGAGAGAAUGCGCCAGCAGAUACAGUACUGCAGAAGGUUUAGGCAGGUGAGCAUCCCAGCUCCUUCCAAAGAGAACAAAAGACGGUGAGCCCCUGAAACAGUGGCAGCACCUUCACCCUCUCAGGCACAGAGGUCAGAUGGCUAACUAUGAGCCAGUCAUCACUCUCAGCCCAACCUACCUCAUAAGGUUGUUGUUGAGGGGAAAAUGGAAGGAAGGAGCUUUCUGGACCCUGUCUUCAGUUGUACAGAAAACAGGCAGUCAUGAGGAGGAUGUGGAUUUAUUCUCCUAGUUCCCAAAUAUAAGACAUAAUCCAAUAGAUGGCAAGUUUACUAAGGAAGAUCUGAAUGUGACAUAAGACAUAAAAGCAGUACAUGGAUAGGAACAGUCUUGGUGAAAUUCCAUCUACAUGCUUUGAAAAACAUUGUGAUUGGAAUUAAAAGGGAUAGCUCUGGUAAAGUCCUUCCUACGUUGAAAAUUAUGACAACCAGUUACAAAAUUAUAUUUUCUCUUCUCCUGCUCCCUUUCUGUCCCACAUCAAGAGCGGAGGCCCUUUCAUUGACCUGAUGAUGAUGAAUGAAAUCUUUCAGUAUCUCCCACCAUUGACCUUUCCAGCCAAGGCUUUUGGGAGUUAAACCAGACAUAUGGAAGAAAUUAGAUUGCCAAAGCAGGAUUGUAGCAGAUAUUAUUUACUAAUUAUUUACAAAUAUGUUUCAACUGUGAAGGUCCUCUUCAUUGAGGAAUCAGAAAGUUACAAUAUAAACAAGUGGGAAUAAUGAAUAAAAGCAUUAGUUUUAGAUACUGUAUGCAAAACAUAGUUGUUCUUCUUGCUGCAGAGAGUGACAUCUAUAUUUUAAAUAUACAACUUUCAUUCUAAUUCAUAAUAUGAAUUCCCCCCAAAUUAAGUAUUUCAUGAAUACAUGAAAUUAAAUUACAGCCUCUUGGAAUAAAACAAUCUUAGCAAUCCUCUAAACAGUGAACAUCAACAAACUUACUUAACUAGUAUGAAAAAACACCUUUUAUUUUUAAAAUAGCUUUGAAUGUCGGUUCAGUACAACAAGUCAAAAUAUAAAUAUGUGUUUUAGAAAUGAUUUAAUUAUACACUAAAGUCUACUUAUUUUACAUUAGUAUAAAUAUCUUAAGACAAAAAUGUCACAAAUUUGCCCAAC